rnacentral:rRNA from 1 species
UACGGAGGGGGCUAGCGUUGUUCGGAAUUACUGGGCGUAAAGCGCACGUAGGCGGCUUUGUAAGUUAGAGGUGAAAGCCCGGGGCUCAACUCCGGAAUUGCCUUUAAGACUGCAUCGCUAGAAUUGUGGAGAGGUAAGUGGAAUUCCGAGUGUAGAGGUGAAAUUCGUAGAUAUUGGGAAGAACACCGGUGGCGAAGGCGGCGACCUGGUCCUUUACUGACGCUGAGGCGCGAAAGCGUGGGGAGCAAACAGG